GGUGUAUUAACACUUCCACUUCCUCCAAAGGUAUUGCUAGCAUGUAACCUUCUAGGAAGUUUCCUGCAUGCCCCACAGUUUCACAGCAGUUGGAUGUAUCUGUUUAUAGAGUAUCUGUGCAGUGACACCUGCUCAUAUUUUGUCCUCGAAAGUAAUUUCAGAUGACUGCUUCCAAAAACCAAAGCAUCAAGUAUCCUGGCAUUGAGGAGUGCAUAUCAAGACACUGAUUGAUUAUAACGUGCUGAGGUGGAAAAAGAACCCAGGAACCAAACUCCCAGUCCUUUCUAACUCCUAGACAACACCACCAACCACACAUUGCUGCCUCCAUCAUCCCAGUGAAGUGAUUCAAACGCCUUUUAGAACUGGACAUACUUUGUUUUCAAUUGACAAGGGCAUUUUUGACAACACCAGGAAGAAAUUCCAGCAUCAAAAAUCCAAUUUGGGUAACCCGUCUGGCAGUGCAGAGUAUUAACAAGUCCACUUCACUUGACUUUUAAGUUCUGCCCUACAUCUGUUUAAAUAAACUGUGUCUGGAUCAAGAAGCAUUUUGGAAGAAUAGACACACAAAUAAUUUCUAUGGGGAAAUGAUUACAGAGAAGUUAGCAUUGCUGACAUUCAAAGGGAUUGUUUUGAGGUCAGUCUGCUUGAAGAGGUUGAGAGCCUUUUCUCUACUCCAAGAAAUUCAUGGAGGGCAAGAGUCUCUUCAGUAAAAGAGGUGAUUG